UGAAGACUCCUGUCACUUGUCAGCAGACUUGACUUUCAGUAAACAGUUGGUGUCUAUGAAAAUCUAACUGUCUUGUUAAAGAGAGUGAUUUCUGCAUUUGGCAUUUGAAAGACUAUGGAGGAGGCUUGAGUGGCAUUCCCACCAUGUUUCCUGAGCACAGAGGACAGCUUUGCAAAGACACUGCUUGGAAGUGGACUGCGCAGGCUUCUUAGGUUUGAGUAGUCAUAGUUUUAAUGAAUGAUAUCUUUGUUGUGUAGACAGAUUACUGCAGCAGGUUGACAAAGAGUUCUGAUGAGUUCUGAGUGUGUGUGUGUGUGUCAGAGAGAGAGAGAGAGAGAGAGAGAGAGAGAGAGAGAGAGAGAGAGAGAGAGAGAGAGAGAGAGAGAGAGAUAUUUUACCUCUCCUACUCUUUGAGGUCUAUGAGAAGAGGGCAAUACCUUCCAAAAGGUAAGAACUCAUUUUAAAGAAAGACAAUAUGUAGCCAUCUUCUGGGACCUGCCAGUCUUGGAGAGAGAGAAGAUCCAGAAUUCUAUAAGCCGCAAACACACUGUAUUAGAGCAGGCUGAGAUCAGAUGGCUGGGGAGAAAUACAGAGAGAGAGAGAGAGAGAGAGAGAGAGAGAGAGAGAGAGGUCACUCCAACAAUAAAGUUAAGUAUUGAGCUGGUUUGUUCCUGCCUUUGCCAUCCUCCACCUCAUGUCUUUUCUUCUUCUCUUCCUCUGGUUUUCUGCCUUUAUUUUUGUCUUGGAUUGCCCCUUUUUUAAAGGAUAAAUUGUGAUCAAUGUCUCGCAGUUUUGAGUGAAAAAAUAUUUCACGGUAGGCACUGGAAAUGUUCUUCGGUGUAGAGUUACUGCCUAGCAAGCAUGAAAUUUAGCUUCAAUCAUAGUGCUCACACACAUGCAUACACAUGUGCGAGAAUGCAUACACACUUAUGUGCACAUGCAUGCAUACGCAAGGAGAAGUUUAGACUCUUACAGCUACUGCAGUGGCAGAAGUUAGGGCUCCUUUUCCACUCUCAGCAAUUGUGAGAUUUUCUGAAUAUUGUGUAAGGCUGAAUAGUAUCACUGUGUAGCUUUUUUAGUUUUUUCAUUGUGAACAUAUGAGCUACUCCCCCUGCCCCCUAGGAAAAUCAUAUUUCAAGUACACCGACUUACUAAGACACCAGUCUUCUUGUCUUCAUUUGCAUGUAAUAUUUACAAACCUUAAUUAGUCUCCACCUUGUUACUGUGCAAACUCUUAGGAUCACUUAGAUAUAGCUUUGUGAAUAGCUUCAUUUGUUCAUUUAUUAGAAAUAUAUAAUUUACUCAUUAAGCUACAAAUAUUUAAAUGACCCCGACUUGGCUUUCAAAGAGCAUUUCACCUCUUUUCCUUGAUUUUAUAUGUAUAGUUUUCAUAAUAGUAUAUAGCUAAAAGUAGGAAAAAUAUAGACUGGUAUCUUCUUGGUAAAAUCAUUUGAAGUGAUGUAAUGGUCAAAUGCAAAGGAAGGCACCAUUUUAAUGCUGUACUGAAGACACUCCUGGUAUUCAGGACAUUUGUACCUAAAGAUACCUGGUAUUAAAUACUCA
rnacentral:lncRNA from 1 species